rnacentral:rRNA from 1 species
AAGCCAUACACCGAAGCUUAGGGUGGCGAUAAUCCUUCGGGAUUACGCUGCGGUAGCGGAGCGUUCUGUAAGCUGAUGAAGCCAUACCCGUGAGGGGUGGUGGAGGUAUCAGAAGUGCGAAUGCUGACAUGAGUAACGUAAGGGGAGUGAGAGACUCCCCCGCCGAAAGUCCAAGGGUUCCUGCUUAAAGCUAAUCUGAGCAGGGUUAGCCGGCCCCUAAGUCGAGGCAGAAAUGCGUAGACGAUGGGAACCACGUUAAUAUUCGUGGGCCUGGAGGAAGUGACGGAUCAUUGAGGUAGUCCAAUCUUAUCGGAUUGAAAGGGCUGCUGCGUGGUUCCAGGAAAUAGCUCCUCCUUAUAGACCGUACCCGAAACCGACACUGGUGGACUGGUAGAGUAUACCAAGGCGCUUGAGAGAACUAUGCUGAAGGAACUCGGCAAAUUGCACGCGUAACUUCGGAAGAAGCGUGACCCUUUUCCACGCAAGUGGAGGAGGGUGGCACAGACCAGGGGGUAGCGACUGUUUAUCAAAAACACAGGGCUCUGCGAAGUCGCAAGACGACGUAUAGGGUCUGACGCCUGCCCGGUGCUGGAAGGUUAAGAGGAGGGGUGCAAGCUCUGAAUCGAAGCCCCAGUAAACGGCGGCCGUAACUAUAACGGUCCUAAGGUAGCGAAAUUCCUUGUCGGGUAAGUUCCGACCUGCACGAAUGGCGUAACGACUUCCCCGCUGUCUCCAGCAUAGACUCAGUGAAAUUGAAUUCCCCGUGAAGAUGCGGGGUUCCUGCGGUUAGACGGAAAGACCCCGUGCACCUUUACUAUAGCUUUACAUUGGCAUUCGUAGUGGCAUGUGUAGGAUAGGUGGUAGGCUUUGAAACCUGGGCGCCAGCUCAGGUGGAGCCACCCUUGAAAUACCACCCUUAUCACUAUGGAUGUCUAACCGCGGCCCGU